rnacentral:rRNA from 1 species
UACAGAGGUCUCAAGCGUUGUUCGGAUUCAUUGGGCGUAAAGGGUGUGUAGGUGGCGCCGUAAGUCGGGUGUGAAAUUUCGGAGCUUAACUCCGAAACUGCAUUCGAUACUGCGGUGCUUGAGGACUGGAGAGGAGACUGGAAUUCAUGGUGUAGCAGUGAAAUGCGUAGAGAUCAUGAGGAAGACCAGUGGCGAAGGCGGGUCUCUGGACAGUUCCUGACACUGGAGGCACGGAAGGCCAGGGGAGCAAACGGG